UGGGGAAUAUUGCGCAAUGGGGGCAACCCUGACGCAGCCAUGCCGCGUGUGUGAAGAAGGCCCUAGGGUUGUAAAGCACUUUCACUUGGGAGGAACAGCUGCAGGUUAAUAGCCUGUAGCCUUGACGUUACCAUGAGAAGAAGCACCGGCUAACUCCGUGCCAGCAGCCGCGGUAAUACGGAGGGUGCGAGCGUUAAUCGGAAUUACUGGGCGUAAAGCGCGCGUAGGCGGUUUGUUAAGUCAGCUGUGAAAGCCCCGGGCUCAACCUGGGAACUGCAGUUGAUACUGGCCGACUAGAGUACGAGAGAGGGAGGUAGAAUUCCACGUGUAGCGGUGAAAUGCGUAGAUAUGUGGAGGAAUACCGGUGGCGAAGGCGGCCUCCUGGCUCGAUACUGACGCUGAGGUGCGAAAGCGUGGGGAGCAAACAGGAUUAGAUACCCCCGUAGUCC
rnacentral:rRNA from 1 species